CACCGCGGUUAGACGAGAGGCCCUAGUUGAUACUAAUAACGGUGUAAAGUGUGGUUAGGGGUAGAGAAAUUAAAGCCAAAUGGCCCCUUGGCCGUCAUACGCUACUGGGCGUCCGAAACCCUACAUACGAAAGUAGCUUUAAUUAAAUUAUACCCGACCCCACGAAAACUAAGAAA
rnacentral:rRNA from 1 species